GGCUCCAUAGUCUAGUGGUUAGCACGUCUGCUUUAAAUGCAAAAGGUCCUGAGUUCAAGCCGCAGGUGGAGCUA
rfam:Pteropus alecto contig167968, whole genome shotgun sequence.